rnacentral:rRNA from 1 species
UACAGAGGUCCCAAGCGUUGUUCGGAUUCACUGGGCGUAAAGGGCGCGUAGGCGGCCCUCUAAGUCGAACGUGAAAUCCCCGGGCUUAACCUGGGAACUGCACUUGUGACUGCACAGCUGGAGUGCGGCAGAGGGGGAUGGAAUUCCGCGUGUAGCAGUGAAAUGCGUAGAUAUGCGGAGGAACACCGAUGGCGAAGGCAAUCCCCUGGGCCUGCACUGACGCUCAUGCACGAAAGCGUGGGGAGCAAACAGG